UCGGGUUGUAUGGUUAAGUGACUAAGCGUACACGGUGGAUGUCUUGGCAGUCAGAGGCGAUGAAGGA
rnacentral:rRNA from 1 species